CACGUGGUAAAGGACUUGGUGGUUGGUACCCAAAAUUUCAAGUUUGAAUUCUAGUUAAUUUAUAUUUUUAGCUAAAUUUAUUUCUAAAUGAAAUAAACGAAGCGGGUAGCGUGCUUCCUAUCUCUCUCAAAAAAAAAAAAGGAAAAAAAGAGAGAGACCAACUGUCCCUAAAACAAAUGGCAAAGGGCUUGGUGGUUGGUACCCGAGACCUAAGUUCGAAUCCUGAUUGAUUCACAUUUUUAGCUAAGCUUAUUUCUAAAUGAAAUAAACGAAGCGGNNNNNNNNNNNNNNNNNNNNNNNNNGGGUGAGUGCAGAUUUUGUAUGUGGGCUGUGGUUUCGAACGGUAGCGUGCUUCUAUCCUCUCUCAAAAAAAAAAAAAAAAACUUUCUGUAAUUUAUUAGCAAUAUAGUUUAUUAUUAUAACAGGAAAAACUUCCAAUACCACUACUGUGUUUCACAACUUCUCUCUUAGUAAACCGCCUGCAUAAAUUAACUGUCCGUAAUGCUUUAAUUUUUCCUUUUUAUAUCAAUUUCAUUAUUUUUUUUAUUAAUCAGUGACAGAUUAAAACUAAAGGUACUAAAGUGAUUCAAUAAACCUAGGUAGGAUAUCUGAAUUUUUUGUAUAUAAUUUACGAAAUAUUAAACCAAAAAGAUAACGAAAAGAUAAAAUGAAACGCAUAGGGAAUCUAACUGAUACACUUAGAACCGACAGGUCACUAAAUUGAGAAAAAAUGCGAAACUACAAGUGGGUAUUUGAAGUUUUAUCCUUUAAUAAAAUGAUAGUCUCAAUAAAAAGCAAUAACAAUGUAUAACACCGCAAGUUGUAUAAAACACCUCUUAGCUUAGACUUUGUCAAUAUCGCCCAAAACUUUAUUCCCGUACCUAAACUCUCUAAACAUUAUACUUUUAAAUUAAUAGUUUAGUGACCUAUCACCUCUCAAAUGAAAUUACUAAUUACAUAGCCCAUGUUGUGCAUAUUUUGAUUUUCCAAAGUUCAAAACACGAAAAAAAAGUAAGGAGAAAAAAAAAGCAUCUCCUACUCUUCUUCAACUGAUAAAAUAAACACAAAAAUUGAAAUAAGCUGAAACUAAUCUUAAUUUUUAUUAUAUUUUCAUAUCUUGAAAUAGAAAAAGAUAGAUAUUUGAUGUACUAUUUUAUAAAGUUUUAUCAAUUCAACAAAUUACAUUUGUCAUACUGAAAUUUAAAAUUACUAACUUUUCUAUUUUAUACAUAUAUAUAUAUAACAUAUAUAUAUAUAUAUAUAGAGAGAGAGAGAGAGAGAGAGAGGAGCUAGAAUAUUAUUAAUAGUAUAUGAGUAUUGUUUGCCAUUUACUUUUACAUUAACAUGUGGGAUUAGGUGAAAUAGUUAUAAUCCAAUGGUGGAGAAAUUAAUAAAAGAUAAUAUUUAUUUACUACCAAUAGCAUUUCAGGUGGGGGCACUCUUUCUCUCCCUCUUUCUAUUUAAUGUACUUUUCCAUGAAUUCAAACAAUCCUUUUGAAUUUUUUUGUAUUAAAAAAUAGCAUUCUGAUAUGGGAUAAAAGUAAUCUUCCGGUGAGUGGAACGUAAAAUUUAUACGCUUUUGGAUUUAUAGAUAGUAUUACUCUAUAAUAAUCAUCAAUGAGUAUAUAUAUAGAGCUAAGCUGCCAUAUUAUCGGUCGCACAGAGGUUUCCGUGCUAUCAAAUUAUUCUCAGUGAUAUGACCUUCAAAUCAACGAUUAACUCCGUUAGAUUUAAUCGAUACUAUUGAAAGUAUUUGAAAACUAAAUAUUUUUAAUAAAAUAGAUCAUGUCUAGCAAUGCUGAUCAUCGAUUCAGAAGCCGUAUCAUUGAAAACAAUCGGUAGCACGGAGGCCUUCGUACUACCUAUUGUAUAGUACUAGACUCUCUCUCUCUCUCUCUCUCUCUCUAUAUAUAUAUAUAUAUGUGGAAUGUGGAUAGAAUAUUAUUGAUAGUGUGAAAAUAAUUUGGUAUCUAUUUUUUAAUCACCGAAUGCUUAGGAUUAAAUGGUUGUGGGUGAAAUAAUAGUAAUCCAUGAAAAUGUAAGUUAUGAAAUUGCCCCUAAUACUAUACUAGAUUAACUCAUAUAUGAAUGGUAGGUGACAAUAUAUCCAUUCAAAAAGACGCACUCAAUAGAACAAAAUUGUCUUUCUGGAUAUGUUUCUAAAAGAUGGAAAAGAAGAAGAAGAAGAAAAUUUUGCUUCCUAUCUCCAGCUUCUAGACUUGGCAUUUCCGUGCAUUAAAAUGGUCUUUUUCAACCUUCAAAUCUCUUGCCCCACAAGUCAUAUUUUCGGCUCUGCUUUUCUAACACUAGCAAUUACAUAAUUGAAGCGUCGUUGGUCAAAUAAUAAAAAAUUUGGAGAAAAUAAACAAGACCAAGAAAGUCUAGAAGCUGAUUCCGAUUGACACUAAAAUGUGGAUAGCCUUAAUUCUGAAUAAAAAAAAAAAUGCUAACUCUACAAACUUAGAGGCUUUAUAAUCUUUACAACCUUCCAAACUUAUGGCCAAAAAUAUUUAUUUAAAAGAUUCUUUUGAUUUUCAAUAAAAAAAAAAUGACGAGACAAAUUCUCACAACUUGGCCCUUAGAUCACCAAGCUGUAAGAUUACAACUCGAAAAGGGUUGUAGCUCGAAUAGAAUAUAUUGCAAUAUGGUGAAAAUUGCACUUCUAGUCCUAAACCUUUUGUUGGGAAGCGUGAUUUUUUCUGAUACUAAUUGUUGGAACCAGUAUUUAUUCUAAUACCGAUUAUAUAACUCAAGAUCUAAAAUAGAGCAAAAUAAUAUGGAGAAGAGAUAUUGGAGGAGAGAGAUGAUACCUAAACUAAUACUUUAUUAAUAAAAAAUAAUUAAUUACAUUCUGAGCAACACCUAUGCAACCAUGUCUAUUAUGGCUUAUUUUCUAAUUAAGCCAUACCUAACUAUAUAUAGCCAUCAAAUUAUAACAUAUGAUAAAUCUGAUUUUACUUUGGAUAAGUACAUAUCCUAACCAUAAUCAAAUAAAAGAUUUAAACUUAUCUAUAACUAUAUUUUAAUUAAGUUUGGAUUAUUAUUUCCAACAUCCUCCCUUAAUCCAAACUUAGCCGCUCUUGAACUCUGUGAAACGCACACUUUGAUUUUGCAAUUUCUGUCGCUGUUGUUGUCGUCGUGUUCGAGUUGUGCAACAUGACGCCUGUCCAAUGAUGUUGCCAUGGUUGAAAUCUUUGCCAUCUGUAGUCUUGAUUAUUCACAUCAUCCUUAAAGAUCUGCGGAUUCCUACAAAUAUCUUGAAAAACAUAUAAUUUUGAAAAAAUUGGAUUGAUAUGAAUUUUGUGAUUUUGAGGUAACCGAGGAGAGUUUGAUCGACGCGAAUAUUUGUUCAAUGCAUUGAUCUUGAUUUGUGCAUUUUCAUCUUCGAACACAUCAAAAUAAUAGUAAACUUUCUCCCUAUUUUGCUGCAUAAUUUCUUCAUCAACAGAAAUUUCUUUAAUCAUAUCGUCAUUUUGAACUUUUUCGUCGAUCUGAAUUGCACCGUUUUGAUCAUCAACAUACUCUUCACAAAUAUGAUCUUCUUCAUAAUUUUGAUCAGACUUUUCUUUCCAAAAUUCUUCGCAAAUUAGGGCUUCAGUAUCUUCACUAUUGGGUUGAAUUUCUUUUUUUUCUUGAAUUUCAUUCUCUUCCUGCAAAUCUUCUCCUUCAGUUUUCGAUAGUAUUCUCCACGCUUCUCGUGCCGUCUUUAUCAUUGAAAUUUUUGCAACCAACGAUAGAUCUACUGCUUGAAAAAUAUAUGAUAGAACUUCUCUGUCUCUCUUUUUAAAUUCGUCUUUACCAAAUUCUUUUUCAUAAUUUCUAUUCUCCACUACAUCCCACAAAUCUUGGGAUUCUAAAAAUCAUUGAAUAAUGAUUUUUCAUCGUUUAAAGUUCGUUCCAUCGAACUUUGGUAAGCCAGGUUGAAUAAACCAAUUAUCUAAAUCCAUAAUAAAGACUUGAAAAUCUGAAAAAUAAGUUUCGGAUUUGUACCUUUCUGUUUGGAUGACGUUCUUAUUUCAUCGAGAUCUCGCCAAAUUUUCUAUAUUUCGGCUUGCUUGCCUAGCCCUCUUGGCUAUCUGGUCAAGUCUUCUUGGAUCUCUUCAGGGGCGCUCCUCGCUCUCUUUUUGUCCAGCGUCACAACCACCUGCUGUCAUGUGUUGUGCGGAGGCCAAUUUCUUCAAAGCAAUUCCUUCGCUUUGGUUUUACCUGAACGUCACCUUGUUAAUCAACUAUGAGUCGCUUGACUUUGACAUAGCAAUCCGGUACAUUGGAUUUAUAUUCUUUUCGAAUAUGCUGUCAUCUGGUUUAUAAAUUGCAUGAUACUUCCCAGCUCUGAUACCAAUUAUUGAGAAGCGUGAUUUUCUCUGAUACCAAUUGUUGGAACCGGUAUUUAUGCCGAUACCGAUUAUAUAACCCAAGAUCUAAAAUAGAACAAAAUAAUAUGGAGAAGAGAUAUUGGAGGAGAGAGAUGAUACGUAAACUAAUACUUUAUUAAUAAAAAGCAAUUAAUUACAUUCUGAGCAAUACCUAUGCAGUCAUGUCUAUUAUGGCUUAUUUUCUAAUUAAGUCAUACCUAACUAUAUAUAGCCAUCAAAUCAUAACAAAUGAUAAAUCCAAUUUUACUUUGGAUAAGUACAUAUCCUAAUCAUAAUCAAAUAAAAGAUUUAAACUUAUCUAUAACUAUAUUUUAAUUAAGUUUGGAUUAUUAGUUCUAACACCUUUUAGUCAAGUUUCUUUUUGGUCCUCAAACCUUGAUUUCGAUAUCCGAAGGUUUAGUUUAAUCCUAAAAUGUAGUAAGAAGUCUUUUUAUUUAGUCCUUAUUAUCUCCAUUAAAAUUGUUUGUUUCUACUUAGUUACUUCGUUUGUUGCUACACUACAAAUUUUUAUUUUUUCAUUUAUAUCAUAUUAUUAAUUCAGAGGCUCGUCAACACUUCAAAUUAUACAUGGAGAAAAAUUGUAACUUAUUAAGGAAUUGUAGGUUGAAAAUGUGCAAUAAAAAAGAUAGCCCAUAAGUACUUGGCAUAUAAAUAGAUACAAUAGAAAUAGAUAAUAAUCUAUUAUCUUAAUAUAAUAUAUAUAUAUAUAUAUAGUGUAUAUAUAUAUAUAAAUUAUAAUAUAUAUAUAAUAUAUAUAUAUAUAAUAUUAGUAUAUAUAAUAUAUUAUAAUAUAUAUUAUAUAUAUAUAUAUUAUACUAAGCUAAAAUGUACGUGCAAAUGAGCAUAAUAUUAUUAGAAAAAGUUUAUAAUAAUUUUUAAAAUUAUUUUUUAAUUUUAGACCAUAUUUUAUAUGAAUUGGCAAAUAUGUAUCUGUAAAAAAUUUACAAUAAUAAAUCACGCUAUUAAGAAAGAGUAUACUUUAAAUGAUAAUAACUUAACAAAAUCUCUACAUGCAAAAAUUAAUUUUAAAUAUAAAAUCAAAAAAUAAAUCUGUUAGAAUAAAUUUUGAAAAUUAAUAGAAAAAUACAUUCGUGUAUCUUAAAAACAAAUAUAUUUUAAUUAAAAAGACUAAUAUCUAAAAAAAUAUUUUAAAUAAAAAUGGAAAAUCUUUAUAGAAUUUAUACACGCCACGUAAUCUUUAUAGAAAACUUAUCUUUGAAAUUAAUAAAAAAAUUUUAUAUUUUAGAAAUUUUCUCAUCAAUAAUCUUAGUCUAUAGAAACUUAUGUUAUUUCAUUGUGUUUCAUUUCUAUUUUUAUCUUAUAUUAAAAUUUUUCGUUAACGGAAAAGAAAAUGGGCCUAAUAUUUUCCGCGAAAAAUAGGGUCUGUUCGACAAACCUAAAUUUGAAUAUAGCGUGCUUUAUAUAUAGUAUACGAUAUAUAUAAGAAUCUAAAGUAAACCUUUAAAAUGAAUUUUUAUCAACUUGAGAUCUAAUUGGAGUAGGGAAAAAUUUUGUUCCGGUAUCUUUUGCCUAUCCUCUGUAAGAUUUAUUAGUCUAGCACACGUUAGGAACCUCUUUUUUAAGGACAUAGAAAUUUGGUGGAUAUAUCACGCUUAAAAAAAAUCAAAAUCAACAAUAAUGUAAUUAAGGUUCCAAUUAAAACAUAUAACAUGCUAUGCAUUACAUUCACAAAUAUCCAAAAUUUAAAAAAUAUUCCAGUUUAUACAUGAUCAGCAACAUCCAAUGAGUAACAAGCAUCAGCAAUUAAUAAGUCAAAAAAAAGAAAAAGUUUUUGCUUGGCUAUUAAGUAUAACCAAUGCGCAAUGUACAUUAAUAUGAUAAAAGUAAUAGUAAUACUAUAUUAUUAUAGCUAAUAUAUAUAUUAUAAUAUAUAUAUGAAUUAGGCUACCAUAUUCACUAUCUAUAGUACGAAGUUCGAAUACUAUAGUGUUGUUUUGCGAUCUUAGGGUGUUCAAAAUGCAACGAUCCACCACCGUUAAAUAUGAUCUAAGGGUAUAAUGAAUUCUCCUUAGGAAUAAAAUUUUAUUUUUUUUCGAUAUCGUUUACUUAGUAAAUAAAUUAUAUCAAAAUGGACGGUGGAAAUUGAAUAAUCUUUAAAAUUUGAGCAUAGGACUUUUAAAUUCAAGAUCAAGAAUGUUAACCUUAAUCUAUAUAGUUUAAAGUAUUUUCUAUCAAAAUUUGAAGAAAUUUAGAUGCUUCUACACCGUUAAACCCCAAACUCGUCAUAAUAGCCAUUGAAAAUUGACAAUUUUGAAAUAGUUUGAUCAUAAAAUAAACUAUGUCGAAAAAAUAUAAAAUUUUAUUUCUAGAAACUUUAAAUACCCUAGAUCAGUUUUAACGGUAUGGAUCGUUGAUUUGAACGUCCUAAGAUCGAAAACCAACACUAUAGUACUGGAGCUCGGUGCUAUAGAUAGUAUAGUAGCCUAGCUAUAUAUAUAUAUAUACAUUAAAUUAUAGCAUCAGUAUAAUUUAUAAGGGUCAAUCGUAAGAUUUCACGCGAAUAAAAUCGAAAGGUGUAGGUCUCACAUUGUUUCAACCAAUACAAAAACAUUUUUUACCGACCGUCACUAGAACAAGUGGUAAAGGACUUGGUGGUUGGUACCCGAGACCUAAGUUCGAAUCCUAGUUGAUUCACAUUUCCAGCUAAGUUUAUUUCUAAAUGAAAUAAACGAAGCGAGUAACGUGCUAUCUAUCUCUAAAAAAAAAAAACACAAAAACAUUUUUUAAGGAAUGAUUUUAUAACUAUCCCUCAAAAUCUUGAAAAUAUCACAAAUACCCUCCAAAAUAUUAAAAUAUCAC
rnacentral:lncRNA from 1 species